CAUACUUUUAUGAAAUCACAACUUCAGGGAUUCAAACAAUUGCAAGCUCGCAUUGGUGAAUCAAUACACACGACCAAGCCAUGGUGAUCAGAUGUAUCACGAGUUGCUGACAAUUUUUGCUGCGUGGAGUGAGCUUUUCUCCGUGCCAAUCAUGCAUCAAAGUUAUAGCACAACUCGCUGACACAUCCCUGUAUUGUAAAAGUAGUUUGCUCUUCUGGUGAUGGUUGAGAGAGAAGAAGAAGCACGCGCGAGCAUGGGCGACACUUAUGAUGGGUUUUUGUCACCGGAGGAGCUACGGUAACGAGCUGGUGCUGCCGGCGAGACCGCGAUAGUCAAGCGAAUGAGAUGGUGAGACCGCGAGAGUCAAGACGGCGAGCCGGGGAGCAGGUCUUCCCCUCCCUGCUGCCUCUGGCCGCGGUGGAGAGGCAUGGCACAGGUUCCUCUGGCGAUGGUUCCCUGCUAACCAGGCAUGUGAAUGAGGUAUUAGAAAAACAUGGAACUGAGCUGAUUUAUUUUGUGUAGGUACAUAACUUUAGGCCUACUUGAACCUCAACUUUUCUAUUGAAGGAAGUACAUCACUUCAUUCAGAAAACUCUUCGAUUGCAGAGAAGAAUAUUUUGGAACACAUGUCAAAGAAGAAUAUAUACUCAUAUUGUCACAGUUUCAUGAGACGAUGUUCAAUGAAAAAACACUUGUGGAGCAGCUGCAACACUUAGAACCAUGCUAUUAUGGUGCUUCACUUUCGUCUUCUCUUUAUAUGUCUGUAUCAAUUUGUGUGCUGGACAUUGUCUACUGACCGUAUGGGAGCAUGGCCGAUUGCGCUGCUUUACGAAUGGGCAUGGAUGGGAGGAUGCUUUU